UUCAGCAAAUAUCUGUUCAAUAUAAGACUUCAGACUGGCACCUAGAUGUUCAAAGCCUAAUUCUUAGCUUCUAAUGAAUUCCAUCUCUAAAGUGAUGAGACCCAGCAGAACGCAUCACUGCCCUUUUGGAGCCCCUACAAUUGGCACAACAAGGGCGAACAAUGGGAACGAUCUGUCACCUGUGCAGGAAGUCAGCGAGCAUACAACAGACGGAUUAAAUGGAUAA
rnacentral:lncRNA from 1 species